GUUAAUUUGUGGAAUCAGCUUUGUAACAGCUUCUGACCUGGCUGAGGCCUUCUAAUGAAAACUGGCCUCUAGACGUAGUAGUUCCCGCAACUACUACCCGAGAGGUUCCCGUGCCCGAGAGCCUGGCGGCUGUGACCGCGAAGAACGUUGGUUUAUAGCAUAUUUCCCUCCAGUUAAUCUGUGAAAGAAACUUAAAAUCAGGUUAUACUUUGGACUUGACAGAGUAUCAGUGUUCUCGCUGUUAUGCUGCUUAGAAGGAUCUAAGCAAAUGGCUGUUCAGUGACUUCAAAAGAAUCGAGACAGUUUGAAGAACUUGCUUUGACAGACCUGUUAUAUCUCAUUUAUAAUAACACGCUUAGAGCCGUGUUUGUCUAAGAGCACCUCACACGGAGGCAGUACUGCGUGGAUGCUCCACUGGAAACGCCGGCAGGCACAGCCCUGGGAGUUUAGGGCGCCAGACGCGACACCUCCUGUCUCUUCAGAAAUGGCAUCUCUUAGUCACGUGGGAAAUACUAUUCCUUUCGUAAAAUCUCUCGAGGCUUCUGAAGAGCUGGAGAGGUUUCUGUGGACAGUGGCUCAAGGUCAGUGCUUUGACCUUUUCCUGAGGUUCAGAGUUGCUCAAGUGAGAUGAAUCCUUUGCCAGAAAGAGCUAAGAGUGAGUGCAAAUAUGGAAUACGUCUUUACCUUUUUGCCGCAGCUUUGGCCACAUGCACCUGAGUUCACUUUGCCACUCAAGUUCAUAGCGGUGGGUGUGUAACAGGGUCACCCAGGAGCUGGGGUGUUCCAGUGUCGCUCCUUCAGGUCGCUGUAAGUGGCGGAGGCUUAGUGGGGGUGGGGAUGGGGUGCUGCACGAGGGUCCAAGGAGAGGCAUCGAGGGGCGUCUUCUGAAGUUUAACAGUCAAUGUGAAUAACAAACAUCCCCUUACCUUUUCUCAUAGAGGCUUUAAAAAGCCAGGCGUAUUAAUUCUGAAAAUAUUUUAGACUAUUUAUCAUGUGUGAGGCUUCCCAAGUCCUUUUGUUGGACCUGGGAACAGUACUGCCUUUCUUUAGGGGCAGAAGAGCCCCGGGUCUUCCCUGAACUGAAGGGGACCCUCGGUAGGGGAGAAAACCACGGUGAUCCCUAACUUUAAAUCCAUAAGGCUUAAAAUUAGCAGGAAUCUCAGAGAUAUAAGCCAGUCUCCUCGCUUUAUAAGGGAAAAAAUGGGCACUCAGAAAUGCUAAGUUUGUCCAGGUUAGAGACAGACCCUUGAUAAGAAUGCUUAUACUUUUAGCUGCCUGCUUACUCCUUUUUCUACCACCCCACCCCCACCAUCCCACCCCACAUCUUCCCGCCCAUACCACACCGCCCACACCACACCGGUCGCAAGCUGGACACUCUGGAGUGCCUUCAGGAAGGUGGGGAAGGGUGCCUCCAGCCUGUGCAUUCCCGGAGGCCAGGGGUAGAUUCCAGCCUAGAUUGGGGUGGGUGUAGAUAGCCAGGCUCCACCUGCUUUGACAUUUUACCUUAUCCCCCUUCGUCUCUGACCCUCUGCCGCAACCCCCCCCCCCCGCCCCCACCACUGCCCUGCCAGGUUCAGCAUUUGCCCUGGAUAGGUGUUCGUGUUAUGUAGCUUUGAAAAAAUAUAUGGUGGCCUUCAUUUGCGUGUUUUAAAUUUUAGCCCGAAGACUUUGAUUUCAUUUUGGGAAAGUAUUUGAAUUAAUUAAUGAAUGAAGAUCAUGCACUAUUGGUUUUGAGAGUGGAUAAUGAAGUUUGUGAAGUCACCCUGUGAGCUCUGAGGUUCUGCGGCUGUCACAGGGGUGAGUGCUUGUGAACACCUUGUCCCCCUGCCACUCUGCUCAUGUGGUAAGGGCAAGACAGUUCUUACCAGACAGAAUCAGAACGAGAACGGAGAAGACUCCAGGCACAAAGCUGUUGCCACUUUUGUCUUCGGUAAUAAAGGGGGGGACAAGUGGCCUUUUGAGUUGGCUGUGACCUCCCUGUGUGUCUGCCUCCCUCAGGCCAGGUGAGACUAGACAGGUGGGAGUUGUCUCCCAGCUCAUAAUCUUUGCUACAGCACAGGGUCCAUUCCUCAUUAUUGUCACAGCUCUUCCUGUGGAUUUCUAGAUCACCCAAUGGAGGAGAGGGAUAUUACUCCUGGAAACAUCUCUCCUACCUUGAGGCUUGCAUUAGUUCAGCUUUGAGAGAAGGGCCUGAUUUUGUACUUACUUACAUUUAUUUUUAACGUUUAUUUAUUUUUGAGGGACAGAGCAUGAGCAGGGGAGGGGCAGAGAAACAGGGAGACACAGACUCCGAAGCAGAUGCCAGGCUCUGAGCUGUCAGCACAUGGGCUCAAACCCAUGAACUGGGAGAUCAUGACCCGAGCUGAAGUCGGACGCUUAGCUGACUGAGCCACCCAGGCGCCCCAUAGAAGGGCCUGAUUUUAAAUCAAAAUUCAGUUGCUGUGUCCUUGAUUGAAAAGGAAGAACAAGUCACUUUGGUUUGCUUGGUUUUAUUCCUUCUUCCCUCCCCACCUCACUUCCCCAUCUGGUUCUUCAUAUUAUCCUGAGGUCUGUCUGUCUGGGUUGUGCUCGAAGCUCUGAUCACUAAAGAGCUGUCUGACCUUCACCUCCCUGGGCCUCAUUUUCCUCAUAUGGGAAGUAGGAAUAAUAAUGGUGCAUAGCAAGGAAGUUCCAGAGAUUAAAUGCAGCGAUGCGAGCAAGGCGCCCAGAACUUGUUCCUGGCCCUUCAAAGCAGCUCUGAAGAUGGGAGCUACCGUUCUCAUUUUUUUCUUCCUCUUCCUCCUCUUCCCACUGUCCCAGGUGGAUGGAAAAGCUAAAUGAGCAGCAAACUGAAAGUUGCUGUAGCAAGAGAAUUGAGAUUCUUUUCUGGCUGCUCUUGGCUAUCCUUGCAGUAUUUGGCAUGAGUGUGUCUUGUAUUGGUGAGAGCCAAAGGGGCUUUUCAGAAAGACCUGUUGCCCGGCCCUGCCCUUGGCUCAUUGUGCGUCCUCCCCAGCCUCACAUGUGCCAUCCUGUGUCCAUCACAGGGCCCAGCAAAGGGCAAUGUGGAACACCAGUAGCUGGUAUGCUGGGUUCAGACCCGGUGGUACCGGAAUGCUGUGUUCAGUUAAUUCAGACCGAUGAGACUGCUUUUCACAGGGGCACGGAGGAUACUUCUCGCCUUACCUUCUGUGAGAGAUGGGCUUUGUUCCUGUGUUCCUUCCUCAGUAGCUUUCGUGCCUUCAAAUAAGGAAAGGGUGGGGGAGCCUGAGUGACUCAGUCAGUUAAACAGCCGACUCUUGGUUUCGGCUCAGGUCAUGAUCUUGCAGUCGUGGAAUCGGGCUCUGCACUAACAGUGCAGAGCCUGCUUGGGAUUCUUUCUCCCUCUCUCUUUCUCUGCCCGUCCCGGCUUGUGCGUGCAUGUUAUCUCCUUCCCCCCUCCCUCUCUCCCUCCCCCUUCCUCGCCCUCCCUCUCCCUCCCUCCCUCCUUCUCCCUCUUUCAAAAUGGAUUAAUAAAACUUAAAAGAAAAUAAGGAAAAGGAGAAUGUGCUUCCUUGGAGUGAGAAACUAUAGCAAUCCCAUUGUUUUGCUGAUUAUAGUAUUACACAAGCUAAAUGCAGGCAGGCCGAGCUGGAAAGGGAGAAGCGGAAAGCAAAAUGAUAAGAAAGCAGGGAUGGGGGGGGGGGGCUCUUCACUGCUCAUCCCAGCACAGUUGUCCAGCCAAAGAGGUGCCGGCUGCUCCUGCAGCUGGGGCUGUGGGGCAGCUCCCUUGCGGGGAUGGCCCCAGAGUACCACCAUCUGCUGCAAACUCUAUCAGGGUUUUUUCGGCCAAAAUCACCGUUCGGACCCAGACUGUUGGUCGUGCCUUCUUGCUAAGUAGCAGGAAUCUCUUUUGCAGAGAUCUGGGGUUAAUUAUGGUGGGGGUCAGGAGGUAGGAGAACUUAACAAAACUUUGUCUUUUUUUGAUUCUUGUAAUUGUGAAAGUAAUUGGAGUGCAUUAUCACAAAAUCAACACAGAGUGUUUAAAGGAAAAGAUUGUGUCCCUUCUCCUAUUCCAAUCUCCCCGUCUAUGGGUAACUAGGUGGCCACUGUGACACAUGGGUGUGUCUGUGCUGAUGCCAUUGUGUGUGGGUUUCUUUGUUUUCUAAGGGUUUCACAUUCUACAUAUUAUGCUGCAACUUUUUUAAAAAAAAUUCAAUUUGUGGAGAAGUUAGUAUACAAAAGUUUUACCUUUUUAUUUUGGCAGUCUGAUAGUCCAUCAUAUGGACGUUCCACAGAUUAUCAGCCAGACCUCUAUUAGCCUUGAAAAUAAGGGGAUAGUUUGAAAGUCUGGUUAACAAGCCACUUGCCUCUUCCCCUCCAUUGGAUGAAUCCCCUUUCCCAGCCCUUUAGCAUUUGGGUGGGGGAUUGUCUCCAUAAAAACUGAGCAGGAGUUUGUAGACUUGGUCAGGCACUGAGACAGGAGGAUCAGACAAGAGGAUCAGACAGGAGUCUGUACUGUACCAUGAGGCUCCAAACUUCCUUUCCUGUUCUAUUUUGGAAUUCCAGGGGUAGAGGCAAGAGUUUAGAGGAUCUUUCUUUGAAGAAACUGAGCUACUACAGAGGAAAGACCUAUAGAUACUAACAUUUGGUCACCAAUGAAAAAUCUCUCUAGCACCUCUGUUACCAAAUUCCAAAUAAAAUAUCAGCUAACCACUCUCAUAGUAUAUUGAGAACAUACAUAUCACAAACAAAUACUAUUUUUGCCCAAAAUGCAAGGAUGGUUCAACAUCAGAAAACCUGUUUUAUCAAUAGACCAAAAGAGGGAACACAUGAUUUCACUUGAUACAGAAAAAGAAUUAGGUCAUUCAGUCCAUUUUAUGUUUUAAAUUCUCACUAAAUAAUGAUAAAAGGAACUUUCUCAAUUUGACAAAAGUUAUAUAACAAAAAUCUGUAGCAAACAUUAUAUCCAAUGGAAAAAACUUUCUUUAACUUAAUAAUGGAGAUCCUGAUCAACAGGUUAAGGAAAGAAAAAGAAAUUAAAUGUAAGAAUUGGAAGGGAAGAGAUAACCCUUUUUGUUUUCCUCAUGAUGUUAUCAGAUAUAAGAUGAAUCUAUAAUAUCAGAUUGUAUUUCCCAAUGUCUGCAUUAACUGACUAGAAAUUUAAGAAAUAAUAACAGAACAAACCAUAAAGUGUCUGGUAUUUAACUGAAGCCAUUUGUAGACUCUCUACUGGAGAUCUAAAUAAAAGGAAAGAUGUUCUGUAAUCUUGCAUGAGAUCCAAUAUUAUAAAGAUGAUAAUCUUUCCUUCUGAUUGAUUUAUAAAUUCAGUGCUAUUCCAGUAACUAUGGAGUAAUAGAUUACCCCAAAACUGAUGAGCUUAAACAACAGUAAUCAUUCUCACUAUUUUGUGAACCAGUAAUUUGCACCUCUGCACAUGACUAGUUGAGGCAGAUACGAAGAUCACUCUACAUAGAAGGGAAAGGAACAUAGACCCCAUCUGUCGAUUGAGGGAUGUUAAUAUCACAUUGUAGAAAGAGUGUGUGGGGUGAGAUAUAUAUUGGCACAACUAUCUUUGGAAAAUAUAGUCUGCCACAAGUGCAGUUCUCCUUGGGACUCUAACUGGAUUUUUUUUUAAAUCUUUUAUUGAUAAAUGCAUUUGAAGUAACAAAGUCAACUUUUAGAAAAAAGAGAAAAGGGGGACUUUUACGCCAGAUAUUAUGAGCUAUCGAACUAUAGUACUAAAAGCAGUUAUAGUGUCUAUGCAAGAAUAGGUAAAACAGACAAAAAUGGAAUGAAGAUCUCAAAGAUAGACCCAUGUAUCAGUGGGACCAUAAUUUGGUAUAAAGGGGCACCGUGAAUCUGUGAGGAAAGGGUGGAUUGCACAUUAGAUAGUGUUAGGAUAAUUGACUUACUAGAUGGAAAUACAUAAACCGGAUCUCCACAUAAUGUCACAUAAAAUUCUAGAGGAAUUAAAAGACCUAAAUGAGAGUGGUAACACCGCAAAAUUAAUACAGGUCCACCUUUUCUUAUACACAAAUCUGAAACCCAGAAAACUCUGAAAACUGGAAGCUCUUUCAUAACCCACAUGGCAGCAAAACUUAGUUGAGAUUAGGCUGUUUAUUUGUAAUCAUUUAUUUAUCCUGCUUGUGUGAACAUCACAGAUUUCAUUGCAGUUUUUUAAAAAACUUAUAAAACUUGCAAAUAUUCAGAAAAAUUAAAAUGAUAUCACAGUGGACACCCACAUAUCUAGUACCUGAACUCAACACUUAGCAUUUUUGCUGUAUUUGCUUUAUCUAUAUAUGUGUGUAUAUAUAUAUAUAGAUUUUUCUGUUCUUUCUUUCUUUCUUUCUUUCUUUCUUUCUUUCUUCCUGCUGAACCAUUUGAAAUAAGUUGCAAACAUUGUGAAACUUUACAUACUACUUACUACUACAUAUAGGUAGUAUAAGAGAAAGGACAUUGAGAAAGGACAAGAGAAAGGACAUGCCCAAGAGAAAGGACAUUUUCCUACAGAAUCACCAUAUAAUUGUCACACUUUUAAAACUUAACAGCAAUUCCAUAAUAUCAAUACCCAAUCCAUAUUCAGACUUCCCCCAUUUAUCCCCAGAAUGUUUUUCCCCCACUCAAUAAAUGUUUAUUGAGCAUUGGAACAUUAUUUAUUGUUCAUUGAACAGUGUGUAGUGAACAUUAUUGAACAUCUGCUAUUAUAAAUCACUAUGGAAAAUACAAAAAUAAAUUUAAAAAACUAAAUAAACUAGGCAUGUUCACUAUCCUCAGGAACAAUCUAGUGUGGGAGAUACAAACAUACACAUAAUAUACACAUACACAUACACAAAAUAUCAUGCAAGGCAGACUGCAGAUAAAACUCUGUAAGACAUAGGGUCAUUGAUUCCUUCUGGAAGGGGGUUCCUCCCACUGUAGCAUGUUGGGAGAACUGCCAACUCCCUGGUCCUAACCCAGAUCCCCCUCUGCUCAAUCUUCAGAUUCAAAUUUGAAGGAUAUUUGGUUUCAGACCAAAAAUAUAUUUGUCAGCUGUCUUUACUGAACUAAGAUUUUUAGUCAAGGUUCAUGCAUUACAUUUGGUGGUUGGUCUGUUUCUUUAAUUUCUCUUGAUUCACAGCUCUGUGUGUGCAUGUGUGUGAUACUGACAUCUUAUAAAGACCAGAACCAACUGACUUACAGAAUGUCCCUCAUUCUGGGUUUGUCUGAUUGUUUCCUUGUGGUAUCAUUUACUCUGUCUAUACUUUCCCUGGUAUUUCUUUAUAAACUGGAAGCUGGGUCUAAAGGCUUGAUUGAUUUCAGCUUAAACAUUUUGGUGAAGAAUGUAGGUGUUCUUGCUGCAUACUUUGUAUUGUAUCACAUAAGGAGAUAGGUACUGAAUGUCAGGUUUUUCUACCAUUACAGUUCUGUUAAGUUUGAUCAUAUGGUACGAUCGUGACCGCCAAGGCUUCCCCUGGUGAAGGUAUACUUUUUCCCUUUGCAGUGAGCAACUUACUACCAGGGCUAUUGUGACUUGCAGGUGUCCUCUUCUCUGGCAACAGAAUGAUUUUAUCAUUCUAAUGAUAAAAUUUAAUGGUUUUCAUAUCUAUUGAUGAUCCUUGCCUGAAUCAAUUAUUUCUUUGGUGGGUCACUUCAAAACUGUAAUUAUGUGGGGCUGUCCCAGACGUUAAUAGAGGCAUUGCAUAACAUCACCUUUCUUAAGUCUGGAACAGUCUCAAUUCCAAAACUCCCAGGCCCCAAGGUUUGCAGAUGUGGGAUUAUAAAGAAGUAGGAGGAAAAGUAGAAUGUCUUUGUGUCACAGGAACAAGGAAGAACUUUUUCAAGCACAAAAAGGCAAAAACGUAGUUGGUAUUUAAAGCCUCCAUACUCAGAAGGGAGAAGAUGUAGAAAGAGAAUAGUAGAGGGUCAGGACUGAGCCGUGGGCAUCAACUAUUAUCCUGGGGUUGGGAGGAAGAGGAGAAAACAAAACAGGAGACAGAAGGAGCCACUAGCAGGGUGAGAGGAAAGCCGAAAGAGUGCAGCACGGAAGCCAAGUAAAGAGAGCACGUCAGAGAGGAGCGCUGGCCUGGCCUGUGCCCCUGGGAGAGCCCGUGCAGAUGAGGACCCAAAAGCGACUCGUAGGUUUGGUGGCACCAGGCCAGCGGUGCCCUUGAUGAGCCAUUUUGACGGAGUGGUGAAGGCAGAAGUCUCAUGGAGGUGGGUGUGGGGUGAGAGGGAAGAGGCAUUAACAAGUAUGGACAACCUUUUGGAGGAGUUUGGAUGCAAAAUGAUGAAAAAAAAAAAUGAGAGAUAGCUGUCAGGGGAAGCUGAGUCAAGAGAAGGCAUUUUUCCAAAAUUGCUGAAAUCCCAGCAUAUUUGUUUGCUGAUGGGAAUGAUUCAGUAAAGAGCAAAAAAGUAAAACAGCCACAUUCCGAAAAUCAUGAUCCACGUUUCACGAGCACACCUGUAAAGCGGGGUGUGCACGUAAAGUACAUUAAAGGGUACCUCCUGGAGCAGAAGGUCUGCAGGGAGGCGAAUGGAAUGACUUGAGGGCGAAAGGAAACGAGAUGGGCCUUGCACAGGCCCGUGGGCCAUGAACUGUGGGCUGUGUUAAAUCGGCUUGGCAACCAGAGGGCAGGAACAAAGAUCAGCAAAGAGCAGCGUGAUGUCUCUGACCUGUUGCAGUGACACCACCAGUCAGCCAGCCCCCCACCCACAGACAUGUGAGGUGACAAUUAGGUCACUUGUAAAGUCUCACAAUGCUCCCUUUCCCUGGAAACUGCCGAUGGAUGCCCUCCAUCCUAAGGAGGGAGCAAACCGAGAAAGAGGAAAACCUGGAAUCCCGGGAAGGGGAUCUAGCAAAGGAGGAGAUGUUGUACAGCUGGGCCUCUUUCACACAGUUCCAUGAAGUGUGAUAUUCAUUCAUCCAGCAGAUAUUUUCAAGAGUCUGUCAUAUGCCAUGGUCUGGGAACACAGCAGGAAAAGAAAAAGACUCUGCCUUCAAGGAGCUUAUAUUGUAAUGGGGGUGACAGAUAGCCGGCGCAGCGGUGGUGAAUGCUAAGAAGAAAAUACAACACAUUGGUCUGGG